GCCCUCUUAACUUAAUCGGGAGAGUGCUCAAUUUAGGUUUGAGAAGUCCGUGUUCGAGCCACGGAGGGGGCA